GCGUCAUUCUCAGUCCCCUUACCCGCACGGCCAAACAAUUUUUGUAUUUUCAUCAUUUCAUGGCGGGAAGUGAUGGGUCCGCGACUCUCGGGUUGUGUUUUUCUUCAUUUUAGAAGAGCAAAAAAGGAAAUAAACUUUAUUUAUUUCAUGUAAACCUGAUUUCCUUCAUCUAAUCGAUCUGUCUACUGCAUUUUCCCACUGUACGUGUGAGUAAAUCUGUAUUUUUCGUUGCGAAUUCAACAACUAGUUUCAAACUUUUUUUGUUUUUUUUAUAUAAAAUCUGUAUUUUUAUAAACUGGGAAUUUAUUUUUGCUUUGGUUGUUUUUUUGUUUUUUUCUAUGGUGCUUUUCAGUUUUCACACCAUUAUUUAGCUUACUUUAGUCCGUUUUCCUGACCUAAAACUGCUUUUUAACUGCAGUUUUCGAGGCAGUUUUUUAGCCAAUUUAAUUCCAUACAUGUAAGAAAAUUUUGUUUUUUUAUUUUUUAUUUAAUAAAAUCAGUUUGAUGAUUGCCUUUUAAACUUAAACUGUUCAUUUUAAUGAGUCAUUUAUGUGUGUG